UACAGAGGGGGCAAGCGUUAUUCGGAAUUAUUGGGCGUAAAGGGCGCGUAGGCGGCCUGGCAAGUGGAAGGUGAAAUCCCUCGGCUUAACCGAGGAACUGCCCUCCAAACUGCUUGGCUUGAGUCCGGGAGAGGUGAGUGGAAUUCCCAGUGUAGAGGUGAAAUUCGUAGAUAUUGGGAAGAACACCGGUGGCGAAGGCGGCCAUCUGGACCGUAUCUGACGCUGAGGCGCGAAAGCGUGGGGAGCAAACAGG
rnacentral:rRNA from 1 species